UACGUAGGGGGCGAGCGUUGUCCGGAAUUAUUGGGCGUAAAGCGCGCGCAGGCGGUCCUUUAAGUCUGAUGUGAAAGCCCACGGCUUAACCGUGGAGGGUCAUUGGAAACUGGAGGACUUGAGUACAGAAGAGGAGAGUGGAAUUCCACGUGUAGCGGUGAAAUGCGUAGAGAUGUGGAGGAACACCAGUGGCGAAGGCGACUCUCUGGUCUGUAACUGACGCUGAGGCGCGAAAGCGUGGGUAGCGAACAGG
rnacentral:rRNA from 1 species